CAUUGCAAUCCCUGCAAAACCAGAUUCAGGACUGGAGAGAGAAAAUAAGGGCUCCGUGUACUUGUGGAGACAGGAUUUGGACCCAGGUCUCUCCUCCCACCAAAGUUCAGGGUCUAUAGGCCUGAGUUCAAGUCCCGGUUCCUGCACUCCCAGCCAUAUGACCAAAGAGGAUUCAGGUUCUGUAUCCGACUCAUGGGGACAGCAACACACUCAUCUCUCACAGUGAAGACCCAGUAAGAAAUGGCAGCUGUCAGCCAGGAGAGGAAGCUGAGAUCCUGAAAGAGGUGGGGCCCGGCCCAGGGUCACUCAGCAAUUUUCAGUAGCUGCUCCCUACUGGGGAACUGUGUGUCUGAGGUCGUGGCCAUCUGUCCAAAGAGCUUCUUCUGACCAAAGUGCUCAUUUUCAUAGUGUGACCACAGAGGACACCCGUGGGAAGAGGAGUCGGGGCAUCCCUUGCUGGAAAUACCCCAGCCCUGAAGGUUGCUGGCAAAACCACCAUUUAAUUCAGAACAAAAAGUCUGCUCCAGGAGCCCCUGAGAGCGUCAAAAAGAACAAGGUUUCCCCCACUGGACUUUACCUCCAGAUGCCCAGGACAUGGGACAUCAUGCAAAGACCUAGCACGUGGUUUUCCUGACUGGAGAAGAACGGGGACAGAAGGCCUGAUUUGCAUUUCUACUAUUUCCCAGGAGAUGUUGACGCGUUUUCAAUCGCUCACCUGCAGAGCCGCCAGAUUCUGGCCAAUCUCGGCUUUUUUCCCUCUCACUGUGGGUUCUUCAGAGCCCCAUGGUUUAGACACAACGGUGGAUUCUCUUGUGCCCCAAUUACCACAUGCGUCAUGGGGAGAAGAGCUUGAACCCCCCAGAGGGUCAGGUCCAGGGACUUGAGCAUCCAUGGAUUUUGGUGCCUGAGGAGAGUCCUGGAACCAAUCCCCCAUGGAUACUGAGGGACAACUGUAAUCUUUUUUGGAAUAAGGAAUUAAAAAUUUCCCCAAAAUGC
rnacentral:lncRNA from 1 species